rnacentral:rRNA from 1 species
GCCUAGCCGUAACACACAAUUAAACUACCAAUUGUCCGCCAAACAACUACGAGCCAUACUUGAAACUUAAAAGACUUGACGGUACUUCAUCACGGCCUAGAGGAGCCUGUCUAAUAACCGACAACCCACGAUUAACCCAACCCCUUCUUGCCCAACAGUCUAUAUACCGCCGUCGCCAGCUUACCUUGUAAAAGAAAUAAAGUGAGCUAAAUAGUACAACACUAAAACGACAGGUCGAGGUGUAACUUAUGAGGGGGUCAAGAUGGGCUACAUUCUCCAACCGAGAAUACGCAUAACACUAUGAAACUAGUGUUUGAAGGCGGAUUUAACAGUAAGAUAAGAAUAAAAUACUUAACUGAACACAACGCAAUGAAGUGCGUAACACACCGCCCGUCAUCCCUGCCACCAC